rnacentral:rRNA from 1 species
CCCCUAGAUGUUCUGGGCCGCACGCGCGCUACACUGAACAGUUCAACAAGUCUUAACCUUGGCCGAUAGGUCUGGGUAAUCUUUGAACGCUGUUCGUGAUUGGGAUAGACCUUUGCAAUUAUGGGUCUUCAACGAGGAAUUCCUAGUAAACGCAAGUCAUCAGCUUGCAUUGAUUACGUCCCUGCCCUUUGUACACACCGCCCGUCGCUGCCCGGAACUGAGCCGUUUCGAGAAAUGCGGGGACUGUUGACUUGCUGAUCGCAAGGUUGGCUUGUCGGUGGAAACCGUUUUAAUCGCAGCGGCUUGAACCGGGCAAAAGUCGUAACA